CUGGGACGGGACUGAGACGGUAGGCAGGAGGAAGGGUUACGGCUCCAAGAGGCCCCAGUGUACGGUGGAGCAGAUCAACAAGCUGCACAGUCAGUCCCGCUCCCAGAGCCACAGUCAGCACUUCCUGCCCACUCAGCCUUACUUUGUGACCAACAGUAAGACGGAGGUAACUGUGUGAGAGAGUGGGAGAAGGGGACGAAGGUUGCCCAAAGCAGAGUCACCCAAUAGACAAAGAGGGAGAGGACAGAGAUGGUGGUGUGUAAGGCCCAGGUCGUUUUGUGUCUUUCUGGGAGCGGGGGCCAGAACAGUGCACCCUGGUGGUGUGGCAGUGUGCUUGCGUGUGCCGUCCAGUAUGAGUGUGUAACUGCACAUGUGACUGUCAGUCAAUCCUACACAGAUCCUCAGUCAGAGGGCAACGGGGGCGGGAUUGUAUAACCAUGGCAACGUCCAACAAAAGUAUCAAAUUCAUUGUGUGUGUUAUAAUAUCUCCUGUGUAAUGACAACAUUAUCAACCAAUGACAGUGAAACGUGAAUCCAGCAACAGCAAAAGGAAACAUGAGAUUGCCAUGGAUUGCAUUACCAAAUCUGACAAGCAAUAUGAGAUCUAUGGACACCACAACGGCUGGGGCUAAAACAUUGAGCAGGGAAACAACAAACUGUGGGGAAAGGAAAAGACAUUCAUUAAAGAGGCUCUCUCCUACAAAGCCAUUGAAUCAGCCACAGUUUUAGGGUUAUGGGAUAUGGCUACGAACAUUAUGGUCUUUGUUCUGUGCUUGUAGCCUUGAGAAGUCUCUUGGUCAUCAACACAGAGAAUGGAGGCUGUUGUCCUGUAUAUUUGAUGUAGAGUACUUGAUCACAGCUGACCCGAAGGCAAGGAGGCUGAAGCAUCAUCUAGAGGAUAGUACUGUACUCCUGAAAGACUCAUCAGUCCCAAUGCUGUUCACACAUAGAAUCAGAGAGAAUCUGUGAUCCAAUAUUUAAAGAUGUGACUACAGACCAUGGCCAUCUGUAGUGAUACCAGCAAGCUUUUAUAUUCCCCUGUUUCUCUCUCUUUCAUUCUCUCUAUCCCUCUGAGAAAAGGCAACCUUCAGGUAAAGACAAGGUAAAGAGAGAGAAAGUGGUUCUGAAUCGGUUCUGUUCUACAGUGUAUGGCGAGUCCCUUGAUAAGAACUAUGAAACCCGAUUGAGAGAUAUCCCUCACCUGUAUUAUUGCGACACAGUAUUGUGAUUUAUAUAAUGUACCAACAUUUGUAUUUCUGUUUGUAUUUUUGUAUGACUGUGUCCUCUUGACCUUUGGCCAUCUCUUCACUCUGGCGUUUGUGGAAAAUACUGUUGCUAGGGUAUCCAAAUAUAUAAUGGUCUAAAAGUAGAAGACAAAACCUCUUCAAGCAAAUCGAACAGUCAAAUCUAUACAAGCUGAAUUUAUAGUCCCAUUUCAGCCUAUAGAAAGCAUACUGCAUUCACUUAUUGUAAACAUCCCCCAUGUGUUUCUGAUUGUAAACAUCCCCCAUGUGUUUCUGAUUGUAAACAUCCCCCAUGUGUUUCUGACUGUAAACAUCCCCCACAUGUUUCUGACUGUAAACAUCCCCCAAGUGUUUCUGACUGUAAACAUCCCCACGUGUUUCUGACUGUAAACAUCCCCCACGUGUUUCUGACUGUAAACAUCCCCCAUGUGUUUCUAAUUGUGUUUCUGACUGUAAACAUCCCCCAUGUGUUUCUGACUGUAAACAUCCCCCAUGUGUUUCUGACUGUAAACAUCCCCCAUGUGUUUCUGACUGUAAACAUCCCCCAUGUGUUUCUAAUUGUAAACAUCCCCCAUGUGUUUCUGACUGUAAACAUCCCCCAUGUGUUUCUGACUGUAAACAUCCCCCAUGUGUUUCUGACUGUAAACAUCCCCCAUGUGUUUCUGACUGUAAACAAACCCCAUGUGUUUCUGACUGUAAACAUCCCCCAUGUGUUUCUGACUGUAAACAUCCCCCAUGUGUUUCUGACUGUAAACAUCCCCCAUGUGUUUCUGACUGUAAACAAACCCCAUGUGUUUCUGACUGUAAACAUCCCCCAUGUGUUUCUGACUGUAAACAUCCCCCAUGUGUUUCUGACUGUAAACAUCCCCCAUGUGUUUCUGAUUGCAAACAAACCCCUCAUUUGUUUCUUUUAUUUCUCUUCUUUGCUCAUGUAAAGGACGUCACACUGCUUGUUUAUCGAGUGCCACUUCCUCCCAGUUUGGCCCAUACCAUUUUGCCUCCCGAGUGGCGCAGAGGUCUAAGGCACUGCAUCUCAGUGCUAAAGGUGUCAUUACAGACCCUGGUUCGAUCCCGGGCUGUAUCACAACUGGCUGUGAUCGGGAGUCCCACAAUUGGCCCAGUGUCGUCUGGGUUAGGGGAGGGUUUGGCCAGGGUAGGCCGUCAUUGUAAAAUAAGAAUUUGUUCUUAACUGACUUGCCUAGUUAAAUUUAAAAAAUAAACAAUUCCUAGUGCAAACUCUGCCUUGCUAGGACACGUGACCACUCUCCUGAAGCGUCUUACCAGUCAGCGCCACUCGAAAAGCUAGCUAUACACUGGUGAAAGUGGGGACACUUCAGGCUGAGGAGUAAGUUUCACACGUCUCCAUGUGCUACAUUCACCCCCAAACUUACUCAACUGCGACCCCAGCGUAACUGUACAUCCGAGUCAUUAGGCACCACUGUAAAGGACGUCACGCUGCUUGCUUAGCCAGUACCACUUCCUCCCAAGUUGGCCCAUACCUGGCGCGAACUCAGGACCUCUGCCUGGCUGACCAUCCUCCUCACACCUGACCAUCCUCUUAGAAGCGAUUUACAAGUCAGCUCCACGUGAAAAGCUAGCUAUUCGCCGGCGCAUGUAGAGACACUUCAGGAUUAGGAGUAAGUCUCACACAUCCCCAUGUGCUACACUGUGUAAGCCAUGAUAAAUAACAUCAAUGUUUUCAGGAUGUGCAUUAUCACAAUACUCAAUUGAAUUAAUCCAGCUAUGCGGAAAUCCAAACCAUCAACAUUAUAGUUCACACUGCUCUCAGUGCAGCGGGAAGGCAGAUGGAAAGCAGGCAGGGAGGGAGGCAAACCAGGCAGGCAAAGGAACUCAAACAGAACAUAUUUUGUCUGAGCAGUGCACCAGGAAGGCAGGUAGGGAGGCAGGCAGAGAGGCAGGUAAGGUUACAGGCAGAGGAAGAGGCAGGCAGGCAAACCAGGGAGGCAAAGCAGCUCAAGCAUAACAUAUUUAUGUCUGAGCAGCAUUCUGCACUCAGCAUAACUUAAUAGAGAAGAGUCAUCCUUCACACUGUGUUCUUCCCAGCAGCAGACUCGGAGUGCAUUCAGAGCACAGUUGGUCAGCGGGACUCACUCUGAAGUAGCAGUCAUACAGCUCUGAGACGCUGAGAGGGCAGGAGAAACUGGAGUAUUACUAGUGUAGUAUAUUACUACUUUGUCAAUGAUUGCCUUCUCAUGACUGUCCUUAUAGUAAUGUUAUGAUAUCAUAGCUUUAUCCUUUCCAUAGUUUUACCUGGCUUGAUUCGGCCCACUCCGACAAAGUGACGGUCCCUAGCAGACCAUUCCACACUGGCACACCAUUUAGAAUGCAUGGCCAUGCCAAUGCAUUCCCUCAUUCUAAGUGUGCCAGUCUGGAUAUUGGAAUGGAGCCUAAUUCCCCCUCAUCACAUCUGAUCCUUUCUUCCCCUCUAAAGCCAGGUGUCUGAAAUUAGCAGAUCGCCGAGCCAGCCAGCUCCAGCCUACCCAGCCUAGUUCCUGAUUGACCUGCUGCCAAAGAAAAUUGUUUCUGCUCGGCUGAAAGGAGCGAAAUUAAGACUGGAUGGUGCGAGUGGCCUAAUUAGUGGAAUCAGACCCUCCCGUUCCCCGCUCUGCUCUUGCCUCACGGUAGCAAAUUGAUCGAAGGAGUCGGGUGGUCGAUACAAUCAGGGCUGCCAGGCAUGCAGCUGAAGUCUUGUAUUAACUGCCUAGCUGAAUAUGAUUUAGUAUUGUGUAGUAUGGUGUUGCUCGUUAAUAACAACAAUCACCCUGGAUUUCUAUAUAGCUUGAACAUAAACUGCCCCUGAUUGAGAGACCAAUUAACAUAAACUACCCAUGAUUGAGGGAGCAAUUGAGGGAAAAGUGUACAGUACCGAUUGUCACUCAAAGAGGACCUGUGUGAACCCGGAAAUAUUUUGUGUGUAUAAUAAAUGUGAUUUUGUUCAUUUUCCUGGAAACCUGAAAACGUGUUGAAACCCUUCUUGUAAAGGUGUCUAAAGGAAGUGACUCAUUAGAAUGUUGGGACGAUGUUUGAAGCCACUGCACCGUUAUUCUCUCUCUCUGUCAAACUUAAUUUAGUGGUUUCAUUUGAUUCUCCUCCUACAACCUUGAAGUGAGGAAGUUGAGAUAAUUACAUAUAAUUACAAACUUGCGCUUAUCAUCUCAGAAAAGAAGUGACUGAAGGGAAUCUGUAGAGAGAGAGAGAAAAUAAAAACCUCUCUAAACCGUCAACAUCAGACUCUCGCGUUCUUUCAGCUGCCUGCUGUAACAGGGAGAAACUCCACCUGGAAACUCAACAUAAAAACUCAUCUUGGAAACUCGGUGUAGGGGUGGUUUGAGGACUUUUUCAACCAAUAAGAUAAACAAACCAGACGCGAUUAAACCUGAUCUUAAAAUACCUGCCAUUAGUACUUACCAUUAUUGACAUUUAUAAUAUAAAAUCAGAAAACAUCUGCAACCUACGCGCAGACACACACACACACACACAUACAUGUACACAUACACACACACUCCCACAGUAAUCAGCAUCAGUAAAGGUAUCAGGAUUGUGAGCACUGAAAAAUAAUGGAAGUUCUCUAAAUUCUUAUAAAAGAUUAAAAUUAGCAAUAUAGUCACCGGCAUCAAUUUUGCAGAUUACCCAACCAAAUGUAUUUUGAAAAAUGUAUUUGUCCGUGAAUGUUAUGUUUGUAUGAUUUGAUUGUACUGAGUAUGUUCCACAGGUUACAUCGAGCUUAAAACAUAACAGAAAUUGGAAGUGUAUUAGAUUAUGAACUCUUUACCACCGUUCUGUACUAACCAGAUAAGCAAACCAGGUGGGGAUGUCAGCAAUUAUUGUUAAACCAUUCUGUAUGACAGAGAAACAUAACUGUAUUUAUCAAGCAGUACAAAAGGAAUACAUACAAUGGGCUGGUAUUAAAGGACUUCUGCAGGUCUGAUUUCUAUGACACUUUUUACACUGUUUAUUUGGUUACCCAGAAGAGGUGAGCUGAAUAUAUUCCAGUUAAUUCCAGUUCCACCCUGUCGUUGAAACUAUGGUAUGUUCAAUCAUGAUUUUGUCUGCUCUGCCAACCUGUUGAUUUUAUGUCAUUCUGCCUUCUAUCAAAAACUGUCUAAACUAAAUAUUGUACUGUAUACACAUGAUGAGGGGGAAGAUAUCAAACAACAUCUGCAGUUUCUCUUACAUCUGAUUAAGGGGUUUGUUCCAAUAGGAGGUAUCUCAUUAAGUUAUUUGCUGAUAUCAGAAUCAAUGGAAGGGUAUCAAACCCAUACAAUCUGUGUGUUUGAUAUUUCUGGGGUUUGAACUCUAUUGCAAUCAAGGGCCAAUGGAUACAGUUACCAUGGAAUGAUUCAUGUGCUUUCUAUAAACUACAGUAUAUAAAUAUAAUCCAUAGAAACCACAUGCUUUAAUAGAUUCUUACAUGUAUUAGAUCAUCUGAAUUGUAAUCAUGCAUUAAUCAAUAAAAGUCUGUUUUUGAUGUUCAACUCAUCUAUGAUAUUUAUAUACACUACUGUUCAAAGGUUUGGGGUCAUUUGGAAAUGUCCUUGUUUUUGAAAGUGAAGAGGUGACUCCGGGAUGCUGGCCUUCUAGGCAGAGUUGCAAAGAAAAAGACAUAUCUCAGACUGGCCAAUAAAAAUAAAAGAUUAAGAUGGGCAAAUGAACACAGACACUGGACAGAGGAACUCUGACUAGAAGGCCGGCAUCCCAGAGUCGCCUAUUCACUGUUGACGUUGAGACUGGUGUUUUGCGGGUACAUUUUAAUAAAACUGCCAGUUUGGGACAUGUAGGGUGUCUGUUUCUCAAACUAGACACUCUAAUGUACUUGUGCUCUUGCUCAGUUGUGCACUAGGACCUCCCACUCCUCUUUCUAUUCUGGUUAGAGCCAGUUUGCGCUGUUCUGUGAAGGGAGUAGUACACAGUGUUGUACGAGAUAUUCAGUUUCUUGGCAAUUUCUCGCAUGGAACAGCCCUCAUUUCUCAGAACAAUAAUAGACUGAUGAGUUUCAGAAGAAAGUUCUUUGUUUCUGGACAUUUUGAGCCUGUAAUUGAACCCACAAAUGCUGACGCUCCAGAUACUCAACUAGUCUAAAGAAGACCAGUUUUAUUUAUUCUUUAUUCAGAACAGCAAUUUUCAGCUGUGCUAACAUAAUUGCAAAAUGGUUUUCUAAUGAUAAACUUGGGUUAGCUAACACAACAUGCCAUUGGAACACAGGAGUGAUGUUUGCUGAUAAUGGGCCUCUGUACGCCCAUGUAGAUAUUCCAUAAAAAAAUCUGCCAUUUCCAGCUACAAUACUAAUUUACAAUAUUAACAAUGUCUACACUGUAUUUCUGAACAAUUUGAUGUUAUUUUAAUGGACAAAAAAUGUGCUUCUCUUUCAAAAACAAACACAUUUCUAAGUGACCCCAAACAUUUGAACGGUAGUGUACAUAUGUGUAUAUUUAUACAUUGGACUGAACACUGCAUAGUAUGAGUGAUUAUUAGUCAAGCAUAUUUUAUUAUAGAGCCUAUCCCAUACUCUUGUUUGAACAGUAGCUAUAAGAAUACAUUGCUGCCCCACUGUUGCCAGUCCUGACCUAUGAUUUGUGAGGUUCAGUUAUGGGGUAGCUGUAUUACUGUUAAAUUAUAAAUAGAUAUAUAAAAAUAAAAAAUAAAAAUAUGGCAAAGUUUUGUCCGAGAAUAUAUUACUAUAGUGUUGCUAUGAAUUUGUCUUUUUUAGGUUAUGGAUUGACUGGAGUUUCUUCUUUUUUUCUUUUUUCAACAAUUCGUUUGAUGUUGAAAAAUGUUCAUUUGUCAUCUACAGAUUACUAUCAGUGUUCUAUAUUCAACUUUCUUAUGUGGCAAUAAAAAGAUGAGUACAUAACUUCUGAAAA
ensembl:lncRNA